rnacentral:rRNA from 1 species
GGAGCGCGGCUAUCUGCAGUCGAGCGAAUGGAUAAGAGCUUGCUCUUAUGAAGUUAGCGGCGGACGGGUGAGUAACACGUGGGUAACCUGCCCAUAAGACUGGGAUAACUCCGGGAAACCGGGGCUAAUACCGGAUAACAUUUUGAACCGCAUGGUUCGAAAUUGAAAGGCGGCUUCGGCUGUCACUUAUGGAUGGACCCGCGUCGCAUUAGCUAGUUGGUGAGGUAACGGCUCACCAAGGCAACGAUGCGUAGCCGACCUGAGAGGGUGAUCGGCCACACUGGGACUGAGACACGGCCCAGACUCCUACGGGAGGCAGCAGUAGGGAAUCUUCCGCAAUGGACGAAAGUCUGACGGAGCAACGCCGCGUGAGUGAUGAAGGCUUUCGGGUCGUAAAACUCUGUUGUUAGGGAAGAACAAGUGCUAGUUGAAUAAGCUGGCACCUUGACGGUACCUAACCAGAAAGCCACGGCUAACUACGUGCCAGCAGCCGCGGUAAUACGUAGGUGGCAAGCGUUAUCCGGAAUUAUUGGGCGUAAAGCGCGCGCAGGUGGUUUCUUAAGUCUGAUGUGAAAGCCCACGGCUCAACCGUGGAGGGUCAUUGGAAACUGGGAGACUUGAGUGCAGAAGAGGAAAGUGGAAUUCCAUGUGUAGCGGUGAAAUGCGUAGAGAUAUGGAGGAACACCAGUGGCGAAGGCGACUUUCUGGUCUGUAACUGACACUGANGCGCGAAAGCGUGNGGAGCAAACAGGAUUAGAUACCCUGGUAGUCCACGCCGUAAACGAUGAGUGCUAAGUGUUAGAGGGUUUCCGCCCUUUAGUGCUGAAGUAACGCAUUAACCACUCCGCCUGGGGAAUACNGCCGCCAGGCUGAAACUCAAGGGAAUGACGGGGGGCCGCACAAACGGUGGACCAUGUGGUUUAUUCCAAACACGCGAAAAACUUACC